rnacentral:rRNA from 1 species
UGCUUAACACAUGCACGUCGAACGGUAACAGGCAAAGCUUGCUUUGUGCUGACGAGUGGCGGACGGGUGAGUAACGCGUAGGAAUCUGCCCUAAAGUGGGGGACAACCUGGGGAAACCCGGGCUAAUACCGCAUAUACCCUACGGGGUAAAGCCGGGGACCUUCGGGCCUGGCGCUUUAGGAGGAGCCUGCGUUGGAUUAGCUUGUUGGUAGGGUAAUGGCCUACCAAGGCAACGAUCCAUAGCUGGUCUGAGAGGAUGAUCAGCCACACUGGGACUGAGACACGGCCCAGACUCCUACGGGAGGCAGCAGUGGGGAAUAUUGGACAAUGGGGGAAACCCUGAUCCAGCAAUGCCGCGUGUGUGAAGAAGGCCUUAGGGUUGUAAAGCAC